UACGAAGGGGGCUAGCGUUGCUCGGAAUCACUGGGCGUAAAGCGCACGUAGGCGGCUUUCUAAGUCAGGGGUGAAAUCCUGGAGCUCAACUCCAGAACUGCCUUUGAUACUGGCGAUCUCGAGUCCGGGAGAGGUGAGUGGAACUGCGAGUGUAGAGGUGAAAUUCGUAGAUAUUCGCAAGAACACCAGUGGCGAAGGCGGCUCACUGGCCCGGUACUGACGCUGAGGUGCGAAAGCGUGGGGAGCAAACAGG
rnacentral:rRNA from 1 species